GUCAUGCCAAUUUUUUGGGGAAAAGCAAUCGAAACCUUGCUGAGUGCGACAUUUAUCAUCAGGUAUGAAACUUCUAUUUAUUUAUGGCUGACCUCCAUAUCUCUCUACCUAUUGACUUGGAUCUGCAUAUUCAAUCAAGAAUCUUUAAAAACAUCUAAGGUUUAAAUUUUUUCAUGAAUAAACCUAAAUGUUAUGCCACUGCCGGACUAUCAAUCUUCGUCGAACAUGUUACAGGUA